rnacentral:rRNA from 1 species
UACAGAGGGUGCAAGCGUUAAUCGGAAUUACUGGGCGUAAAGCGCGCGUAGGUGGUUCGUUAAGUUGGAUGUGAAAGCCCCGGGCUCAACCUGGGAACUGCAUUCAAAACUGGCGAGCUAGAGUAUGGUAGAGGGUGGUGGAAUUUCCUGUGUAGCGGUGAAAUGCGUAGAUAUAGGAAGGAACACCAGUGGCGAAGGCGACCACCUGGACUGAUACUGACACUGAGAGACGAAAGCUAGGGGAGCGAAUGGG